UUAAAUGAAGCUAAAAAGAAGCAUUCCACUGUUAAUGGAAAAAUUGGUUAAUCCCUUUUAAA
rnacentral:tRNA from 1 species